AAAUUGAAGAGUUUGAUCAUGGCUCAGAUUGAACGCUGGCGGCAGGCCUAACACAUGCAAGUCGAGCGGUAGCACAGAGAGCUUGCUCUCGGGUGACGAGCGGCGGACGGGUGAGUAAUGUCUGGGAAACUGCCUGAUGGAGGGGGAUAACUACUGGAAACGGUAGCUAAUACCGCAUAACGUCGCAAGACCAAAGUGGGGGACCUUCGGGCCUCAUGCCAUCAGAUGUGCCCAGAUGGGAUUAGCUAGUAGGUGGGGUAACGGCUCACCUAGGCGACGAUCCCUAGCUGGUCUGAGAGGAUGACCAGCCACACUGGAACUGAGACACGGUCCAGACUCCUACGGGAGGCAGCAGUGGGGAAUAUUGCACAAUGGGCGCAAGCCUGAUGCAGCCAUGCCGCGUGUGUGAAGAAGGCCUUCGGGUUGUAAAGCACUUUCAGCGGGGAGGAAGGCGAUAAGGUUAAUAACCUUGUCGAUUGACGUUACCCGCAGAAGAAGCACCGGCUAACUCCGUGCCAGCAGCCGCGGUAAUACGGAGGGUGCAAGCGUUAAUCGGAAUUACUGGGCGUAAAGCGCACGCAGGCGGUCUGUCAAGUCGGAUGUGAAAUCCCCGGGCUCAACCUGGGAACUGCAUUCGAAACUGGCAGGCUAGAGUCUUGUAGAGGGGGGUAGAAUUCCAGGUGUAGCGGUGAAAUGCGUAGAGAUCUGGAGGAAUACCGGUGGCGAAGGCGGCCCCCUGGACAAAGACUGACGCUCAGGUGCGAAAGCGUGGGGAGCAAACAGGAUUAGAUACCCUGGUAGUCCACGCUGUAAACGAUGUCGAUUUGGAGGUUGUGCCCUUGAGGCGUGGCUUCCGGAGCUAACGCGUUAAAUCGACCGCCUGGGGAGUACGGCCGCAAGGUUAAAACUCAAAUGAAUUGACGGGGGCCCGCACAAGCGGUGGAGCAUGUGGUUUAAUUCGAUGCAACGCGAAGAACCUUACCUGGUCUUGACAUCCACAGAACUUUCCAGAGAUGGAUUGGUGCCUUCGGGAACUGUGAGACAGGUGCUGCAUGGCUGUCGUCAGCUCGUGUUGUGAAAUGUUGGGUUAAGUCCCGCAACGAGCGCAACCCUUAUCCUUUGUUGCCAGCGGUUAGGCCGGGAACUCAAAGGAGACUGCCAGUGAUAAACUGGAGGAAGGUGGGGAUGACGUCAAGUCAUCAUGGCCCUUACGACCAGGGCUACACACGUGCUACAAUGGCAUAUACAAAGAGAAGCGACCUCGCGAGAGCAAGCGGACCUCAUAAAGUAUGUCGUAGUCCGGAUUGGAGUCUGCAACUCGACUCCAUGAAGUCGGAAUCGCUAGUAAUCGUAGAUCAGAAUGCUACGGUGAAUACGUUCCCGGGCCUUGUACACACCGCCCGUCACACCAUGGGAGUGGGUUGCAAAAGAAGUAGGUAGCUUAACCUUCGGGAGGGCGCUUACCACUUUGUGAUUCAUGACUGGGGUGAAGUCGUAACAAGGUAACCGUAGGGGAACCUGCGGUUGGAUCACCUCCUUACCUUAAAGAA
rnacentral:rRNA from 1 species